AUACACCCUACACUUACAUAUCCUUAAUUAGCCCUAACCUCUUCAUCGAGUUCUCUCCCCGGAUCUGCCGCACGGUGCCCUCUCGCCGCGCCUCCUCCUCUCGGCGUCCCUGUCGUGCCUCAUCCCUUGUAUUCCACUGACCACUCAUCCUUUGUAUUUCGCCGCGCCUCUGUCCCUUUCUCCCUCGCCGCGUCUCGCCUACGUGCCUCCGUGUCUCCGUGCUUCCAUGCUUCCCUCGCCUCGCCGCGGUGCCUCUGUCCCUCCCUCACCGCGCCUCCGCUCCGUCCCUCGCGCUUGGUUUCGCUGCCUCGCGCCUACUCCUGUGGCUUCCAUUUCAGACAGAGUCCAGGACUAGGAUUGAAUAGUGUGGCUAAUGACAAAAUUGUAUCAAUAUGACUCUAAGAUUGAAUAAAAUAUCCAAUAGAUGAUCAUCAGGUUAGGUUCAACCUUUUAGCCAAAGAAUACUCCACCCUUUUGAACUGCAAUUGACGACAUUGAAAAGCUACGGGAAUACUUGGGUAUUGGUUUUAUUGCAGCUGAUUAUGAGGAUGGAGGUUGGGAUCGUAACAUGAAAAAUGCUAGGGGUGAAGGGGCAGAGUAAGAGGAUGUGAUUUUUAUGGAUACAACCAAGAUGUCUCCUCAUGGAUGUGACACUUAAUCCUUAUUGAAAAUUCUGUACAAGGACAUUUUAUUUUGACAAGCCUAACAAAAAUAAAAUUUUUAAAAUAUCUAUAUAUUUAUGAUAUUGUAACAAUGAUAUAAUGAACAUAAAAAAUAGAAUUACUUUAAGCAAUAUAGUUUAUGUUUGUAAUUAUUUUGUUUUCUAUUAAGUGAUAUUAAUACUAAUUGUGUUCAUAUUAUUAUCAA